rnacentral:lncRNA from 1 species
UAUGGAUUUAUAUAGAUGUCAUAGGAGAGAUUAAUUUCAAAAGGAGAAAUGAACACUCGUCAGGUUACACGGAACAUGCAAUGUUCUUGCAUUUAUCCUGAGCUUAAUCAACAGAAAUAUAUCUCAACAAACUCUAUUAAAUGUACGUAUUGUUCUAUUAAUCGCACUUUAUAGCUGCGUACAAGUAACGAACAAAGAGAAAUGAGGCACGAAAACCCACACUUCCCAGUACAAGAAAUAUGCCGAAACAGACGCAUGCCAUAUAGCCGAAGAAAAAAGAGAUCUGCAAGAAACUAUUCAUGUAUGAUCUCUCAAAAUAAUAAUAGUUGCAAUAAACAUAUAUAUACAAUCCAGUAGAGCCUCCACACAGAAACGACCUGUGUCAAAUAAAGAACUCUUAUUAGUUGUAACUUAUAAAUUAUUAGCUCAUGCAUAUAGCAAUUCAAGACCAUAAUCAGUUAUCACACCAACUAUAUAUUUAACAUACCUCCACCACCAUUGAUGAUCUUCAACUGCAAGCUGGAAAAAUGUAAGUGCCACCGAAACUAAAGCAGUCAUGAUCAGAAGAAGAAAGAAGACUAUGGACAUAAUACCAUAAAGUGUAUAAACCCGAUAUCCCCAAACACUUGUAAAUAUGUAAUACAACUGAAUAUAGAUGACACUGAAAGGCAAAAUUCCUGCUAAAGCCAUCUGAGGGAGAACACCCCUAUACCAACGCAACUUAGGAACCUCUCUAGGAAUUUUAUCGGUUUUGCAGGGAGCUUGGAAUUCAGGCGUUCUUGUUUUCCCAAUAAUGCCUCCUAAAAGAUGCAAUGGUGAUGCUAUGAAUAUCCACAAGAGAGAUAACAUGACUAUUGCUCUCACUGGCAAUGCAGUAGUUGAUCCAUAAUAAAUGGCAACAUUUUCUAGGAAAGUAAAAGUAAGAAAGAGAGGCCCGAAAUAUAAUCCUCCUGCCACUAAUAGGUUCUUUAUCUGUAAGGGAGAAAUAAAGACAGCCAAUCCGUAUUAACCUUUUUAUGUGAAUAAAAAAUUAAAAAUAGAUCAAAUUGUAUAAGUUUCAAACCAAGUUUCAUAUUUUCACAUACCCAAUUGGUUCCUUCGAGUUGACAAUAGAAAGAAACAGAAGUAUAUCCUGAGACCAAAGAUGUAACUGCAUAUACAAUGAUAAGUGCGUUCCAGAAUACUCCUCGCAUAUAAGGCUUAAAAACACCUACGACCCCAAGACCAAGAAUUGCUACGAUCCUUCAAUUUCAACAAAAGAAAGGUUCGAAAAGUAAUUUAAGAUGCAACCCCAAAAAACAAUGUAUAAAAACCAUAAAAUAAAGGGAAAUCCACAAAAAUGACAAAAAUGGUAUUGGUUAUUUAACAAAAUUGCUUUUGAAUGGUUCCCACCUCAAAAAAAUAUUUAAACAGAAAAAUAAUAUUUCCCAAGAAAUCAUAUAUUGUAUUUCGCAAUUUUAGAAUGUAAUUUUCAAUAUAUAAACGUUUAUUUUGCAAGAUAAGACUCGAUUUCGCGUAUUAUUUUUCUCAGAAAACAAUGUUUUCCAAAUUUAGUUAAGGUUUUUCGUGGUGAGGCUACUAAAAAGUAAUUUCGCAAUUUGCAAUGAGACUAUGGCAAAAUCUGUGGUCAUUUUUUUGCAAAAAGUCAAAAGAUAAGACAUAUUUCAUAUUGUUUGGAGAUACUAACAGUAAUAGCAACUGGCUGCCAACACCAAGAGCCGCAGCAAAUAAAGACUUGUGUUGUGGGAAUCUAAAUACAUCACCAUGAACAUUAUUCCAUCCAAUCUCUUCUUGAUUACUUAUCACUUGAUCCUCUUCUACAUCGACUGAGUUCCUUUCAUUUUUCAUGCAUUGGGAAAACAAGAAAGGCAACACAAGAGUUAUUCUGUUUGACAAACAUAACAAACACAAUAAGCUGAAUAUAAAACUUAUUUUUUGUGAGUAGAAUCAAUACUUGGAAAUGUCUUUGCGAAGGACGAGUAAGUAAAAUGUGAGUAAGGAAACGAUCAGAAUGAGGAGUGUGACACUUGAGAAUGUAAUUGAGUGAUGAUGUAUCGGCAUGUUGUGAGGUAAAAUGGUAGAAUCAAUGUAUAUCUCCAUUCUCCUAUCAAAUGAUUGUUGUGUCAUUGUCCACUUAACAGAGUAUGUGAAGCCAACAUCAACUUCCUUGUCUUCUGUAACGUCUGUAAAUGAAUUUGCCAUUUGUAGAAUGACCUUAAUAACUUGAUCCUUAUUGUAAAAAACCUCGAAAUCAAAAUGUUUGUAAAGGGAAUACACUGUCUUGAUCCUUCCAUUAUAAUUUCCGUCAUUUCUCAUUCCUAUAAAUGCCCAUAUUGGCAAGUCAUCAUAGUGCAAUUGCAUAAAGUAGUUCUUCUCUAUCGCCCUUCUGAAAUUAGAAACAUCUAUUUUACUCAGUGUCUUAUUGCAUAAUACUUCAAAAUCUUUAUCCACAAGGAAUUCAAGCUUAUAUGGAGUUGAAACAAGACGAUCUCCAUUCAACAUUUCUCCUAAAUUAAGCUUUUUCUCUUUAACAACAUCUGUUAUUAGAUAAACAAUAUGGAAGGAUUGAGUAAGUAUAAAUGGAGAAGUUAAAAUGACUGAAAGAGAACAAAAGAAAGACCCAACACAUUCAUGAAAGAAUUAAGUACCUUGAGAACAAAAUGGAAGUUCAUAAUAAGCAUAUGUUUCUCUGAAAACAAAGUAAACAAGAAUAAGAAGGAACACACACAAAAAUAAAUAGAAAGGAAAAAUACUUUGGAGGAAAUGUGUCUAACCUAGAAUUAAAGUAUGGCCCAAUUUUGUUGGCAUAGAAGGGGACUGUAUCACCUUUACUGUAGCGAUGAUCAUUGGCAUCUGAUUCUACUUGGAUUCCAAGGUAGAUCAGUAGAAGCAUAAGAAAAGGGUAUUUUCGUAACUUUACCAUUCCUGUUGAUCUAUAAAUAAAAGUGAAAAAACAUGAGCAACUGUCAUACCAAAAAGCAGACAUAUCAUAACGAAAGCAUCUUGCAGGUAAAUACAAAACUGGUUCUCAUGAAGCCAUUUAAGUUGCACAAGUAUACCAUAUUGUUUUACAUCAAAACAUUACAAGAAUCUUUGUAGAUUUUGGAAAAGUUGAUGAUUUGACUAAAAAGAAUUUUGGGUUUUGUAUGUUAUAGAAUAUUUUGGUUGCCUAGUUUCUCAUUGUUCCAUAAACAAAUAAACAAAUUGCUCAAUCUGCUAUGCGUCACACAAUUAGGCGUUUAACUAUACUUCUUUCAAAGCAAUGGAGUACAGGAUAAAUGAAUGUCAUUGUUGCGAAGGAAACAAAAGCCAAGUUAUAAGGUGAAUCCUAGUAUUAAGAUAUGAACAAUCAAACAUAAGUAUUAUCCAAAAAAAAAAAAAACAAUUCAGUUGUAAUUUACUGGAGAGCUAACAGAGACAACAUAAUCAAACAUCAAACUAUAAUUGUCAAGUAAAUACCAAGAACGUGAGAUGAUCAGUGAUGGAGAAAGAGAGGUGUUUUUACAGUGAAGGAGAAGGAUGCGGUGAUGGAAAAGGUCUUAACUGGUUGCAAACCAGAAGUAUUGUUGGGGAUGGUGAGAGGACUUUGACUUUGAGUCUUCCACUCUCAUCAACCGACUGUUAAGUUCACUUGUCUCAUAUGUUGGUCGUUAUUUGUUCAAUAAUUUUGAGGAAGUUACAACUUAGAAAUGUUCUUUUUUUUUUCUUUUUUUUUUAAUAUUUUGAGUAAAUUACACGAAUGGUCCCUAUGGUUUGGCAUAACUUACAUGUUUGGCCUCUAACUUAUUUUUUAUCUUGGAAGAUCCAUAAUAUUUGUUUUUUCUUUCGUGUUUGGUCCUGAGCUAAAAAGACUAUUGUGCCACUUGAUUUAUAGGCAAAAAAUAGUUUUUCAAAAAGCCAUGAAUUCUUGAAUUUUCCAAAAAGCCAAUAAGCACUUUGAGAACCAAUUCCAAACACUCACUCAAGACCCGAAAACAAGUUAUGUCUAAGUAUCUGCUGCUAAUUUGUACAACCUAGAUCUGAACAAGAGCCUUAGUGUCGCUGUCAUCGUUAUUGUAACAACACCAGAUCCGCCGUCGGAGAAAACAUACAAGGUUUGUCACCCACCUGUUCGCCGUUGAAGUAAACCACUAGAGCAAGAAAAGGAGAAAGAAGGGGGNNNNNNNNNNNNNNNNNNNNNNNNNNNNNNNNNNNNNNNNNNNNNGGGGGGAGCCUUGAAGAAUCGAUAUGAGAUCUAGGUUUUAGUUGUUCAUUGUUUCGUUGAUGAGGCUGUUGUGUGCUAGCAAUGUUUCGAAGCAGGAAAUCCAAGAAUUUAGGGAUGGAUUUAUGGUUAUGAUUUUUAGUCUAGUUUCGAUAUUUUUAUUACAAUAUGAUUGGAUAGUAUGAUUAAAUUGAAUGUCAAGUGUGAAUGAAUUGAUUUUAGAUUUGAUUUCCUUUUUGAUUUAAUUUUCCAUGGUUGUCUCCUCCGUUGCCGGUUGACGAGCUUUUCAUUAUUAUUUUCAUUUGAAAACCCAAAAACAAUAUCUGUCCAGGUAUAUGAUGUUGAUUUAUGCAACCUAGAUUUGAUUUUGGUUCUAAUUUUAGAUUUGAUUUGCAUUUGGGAUAUGAUUUAUGGUUUUGAUUUUAGAUUUAACUUUUGGUUUGAAUGGAUUCAAUGUGGUUUUUAUUUUUCCCGAUGUGAGAGAUAGUGGUUAUUUGCUUCGAUAGUAUAGGUGAUGGUGGUGUAGAUGUUGGUAGUUUCUUCUGGUGGCAUUUUACUCCGUCAAGAGAAGAAACUGGGUGAAAGACUAGAAGGUAUAAAGGGACGAUGUUAAUUUUCUAGAUUAAUCAUAAAUUUAUAAUAAUAAAUUAUAAAUGAAAUACAUAAAUAAUAAAAUUAAUUAAAAGUCAGUUAAUAAGAGACCAAUAGUCUUUUUAGGUUAGACAAUGACAAACCUACAACAAAAACAAACAAUAGAGACCUUCUGAGUUAAAAAAAAUAGUUAAGGACUAAAUGCAUAAGUUACCCCAAACCAUAGACCAUUCGUGUAAUUUACUCUAAUAUUUUUAAAGGAAAGCCCUAGAAAAAACCUACCUAUUAUCAUUCCAUGCUAAAAACAACCAUUAUUUUAUUUUUUUUGUACAAUAAAACCAUUUUAUUUGUUCAUCAUGCUUAAAAUAAUGAUUGGUAAUUGUGACAUCCCCAAAUUUCUCGGCCAAGAAAGGAUGUUUUAGUUAUACUUAUUUUAAAACAUAGUUUAUUUAUAAAUGUGGAAUUUGUACGAUAAAAGUACAUACGAAUAAAUGUUUUUCAUUGACUGAUUAAAGCUUGGGAUGUCAUAACUAAUACAAGAAACAUAAGAAUAAACGUAAUCAUUACAGGCCUUACACAUUUAAUGGUUUAUAUUUCCUUUAAUCUCUCAUCAGAUCCGAACAUCAAGUACCUUCGUAUCGAUAUAUGUGAUGCAAAGAAACUGAGUGGGUUAGGUUGGAAAACCAGGUAAGUACCACUAGUACAAAAAUGACAUAUGGCCAGGCUUUUUGGAAAUAGGGUUGUCACGAAUUUUGUUAAUUGCAUCACUAAAGGUCAUUAAUCAAAUUCCCAUAAUGUUUUCGUUACAUAUCAACUAAACAUCGUCACUAUUGCAAACUAUUUUCACACAUUUUAUCAUUAUUUUACAUAAAAAGUUUGACAAAUACUUGUCAAUAGUCACAUUAUAUUAUUGUGACUGUAAGUAUUUUAUUAUGACAUUUAAAAAAACAUGUGAUUGUAAGUGUUUUAUGAUAACAGUUAAAUUUCAUAUGUACGUCUAAAAUUAAUGAUUUUGAAUAUAUAAAAAAAUAACAAGUGACCGGAAGUAUUUUAUUAUGAUAUUUAAAAAAACAAAACAUGUAAGUAAAAGUAUUUUAUAGUCACAUUUUAAUUUUUAUGUGUCUAAGUCCAUAACUAUAAUUUGUAUGUACUUGAACUAAUAACAACACAGUCCUUUUGGGUUGCCCUCAAACCUAGCAACUAGACAAUGAAAUUAUGAAAGGAGAGAGAUUAAUUUAUUAUAAGAUUAAUAAAUUAAUAUAAAUGAUUUAUUAAUAUGUUAUGAGAUUAAUAUAUUAAUUUGAAAUCAUAAUGUUUGACUAAUAGUUAGCAAAAAAUUAAUUGGAAUUGAUUUUGGGGUUAAUUGUAUUAAUUAUAAAGUACAUGGACUAGUUUGCAAUUAUCAAAUAGUUGGAUGGAAGGUUCCAUAACCUCCUUGGAGGAGGUAGACAAAAUCAAUAGGGGAAACCCUAAUGAUUUCGUCCAAGUGCCUUGGUUUGCUUCUGGAUAAGCUUGGGCCCUAAGCAAAGGAACAUUAGGGUUUUCCCUUAAACCCUAGCUGCCUCAGCUAUAUAAGGAGCCUCAUGGCUCCUGAAUUUCGAUCAUCCCUACACCUGGAGAGACCCUAGCCAAAAAUUGCAUACUCUCUCCUCAUCCUCUCUCUAUAUAGUUUCCUUCUUGCUAGUUCUUGGGUAUGAUUCCAUUAGAGGCAUUAUAGUUGUGGUGUUAAGCUUCCAAGAAGACCAAGAUCAAGGAUUACCAAUUGUUUGCUAUAUCAAUUGAAAGGCAUGUGAUUCUAAAACCCUAAUUAGUUAUUUUUGAAAAUAGCCUCCUCUCAUAGGGUUCUAGUUUUGCAAUUCAAAGUUAUAUGUUCAAUAGUUAAAACAUAGAUCCAAAGUAGGUUACAUGUGAACUUAGGAAUUGUUUUUCUAGUUUAUUUGCUUUACUUAAAACUCAUCAAAGGUAUCAGAGCCAUUGGUUUUGUUUUAAAUUGAAUUGCUAUAAUAGUUGAAUUGCAACUUAAGGUUUAUAGCUAUUAAACCCUAAAGGCCAUGUAACACCCGUUUAUUUAUUAAGUUAAAUAAAUUAAUUAAUGAACGAAUGAUAGCCUAAAAUCAAUAAUUAUAUAGAAAGGUGUAAGUUUCGGGAUUUACUUUAUAAAGAUUUUUAGAAGACAGGGGUUUUUUGGUAUAAUUUGGGCAUAAUAUGAAAGGAUUUAUGGAAGAAGGGGCUAAAUAGUAAAUUUUGGACUCCAUUGGAGAACAAUUUUUAGAGGAGGGGCUAUUUGGUAAUGGUUGGACCUAAUAUGUGAGAAAUUAUAGAAGUCGGGGUUUAAAGGGUAAAUAUGGGAGUAAAUUUGAAAUUGUUCCUAAAGGGAGGGACCAUUAAUGCCAUUAUGGAAUAACGUUUGUGAGGGGUGUCGGGUAUAAGAAUGUCCCAUAACCCUAACCCUAGAAGUUGGAUAGAGUCGCCACCUUCCCUCUUUCAUCACUUUCGGUAGCCGCCGCUCUCACCCCUUCAAUCUCCGGCACCGCACCACCACCUCCAUUGAGGUCACUAGUCACCGAGUGCCGCCACAACGCUGUUGUCGAAAGUANNNNNNNNNUGUCGGAAGUUUUGAGCCGCCGAGAUCGAACCUCCAAACUGUGAUUGGAGUCCGCUGCCACUACUCUCCCUUCUCGCCAUCGUUGGUGUCAAAUCUGCCCGCCACUCCACCACUUGCAUCCUCCGACCGACGAUGUUAAGCAUGGAUGAGGAAGCCUCUAAGGCUUGGAUGGCAACAACCGGUUGCUGAUAUCGUUUAUCGCUACCCUAUCUUCUUCUACUCCCAACUCUUGACGCUGGCGUUGUGUGGAGCCGACAAACCACCGAAAUCGCCACUGCGAGCCUCCGCUGCCAGCGUGAAGGAAUCACCAUUGACCAAUGACUUGUUAAGCGGGACUGUUGAGAGGCACCGCCAAGAUCAAGAGGAGGCACUGCCAAACCCUAGCUGCCGCCAUAUCUCCCGACUUCCGUGCGCCAUGAUCGCCGCCAUGUUGCUACUGCUGUAGAACCUCCGUGUGCCACUGUGAGGUGUGUGGUUAUGUGCAUUCCCGAGCAAGAGUGUGUUGUGUGUUUUGAUGGCCGGAAAAUGGUGAAGAAAACCACCAUGGCUGCUAGCCAUGGUGGCUGCCGCCAUGUACCACCACCGACCACCACAAGGGUGGUUGUGGGUGUGUGUUAUUUUUAGUAUAGUGUGUGUGUGUUAUUAUGUGAGUUCAUUACAAUUGUAAAAAUUGGAAUAAUGAAAUGGAACUCAAACCACCACCGUAGGGUGGUGGCUGCCGCCUCCUACCCCACCAGCCGNGCCACCGGCCGCCCUGUCGGAUAGCGGUGUGCUUAGUUGUGUUGGGAUUGCUAGUUUGGGGAUGUUUGGUCAAGGGACUAAAACCUUAAUGGGCCCAAUGAGGCUUAAUGGACAUAAAAGCCCAAGCAUGUGUCUAAUGGGCUUAAUGGACCAUAAUGGAUCCAAGGACUUAGCUAAUGGGCCUAUUGGGCUAAGAUGGGUUGGAAACCCUAAUGCCAUGAAACCCUAAUUUUUGGGGAAAUAAUCGAAACACACGGGAAUUAUUAAUAACUUGGAAUAAUAAAUAAUAAUCAUUGGCAAGAUUAAUCUAAGCGAUAGUGGACUUAAUGGAUUAAGUCCUUAGAGGAUUAAGUCCUUAAUGGGUUAAGUAGGAAACUUAACCCUAAUCGUCACUUUAUGUGAAACCCUGAUUUCAGUUGGGUUUAUUAUUGUUUUUUGAUGAUCGGGUUAUUAAUGGGCCAUCCAGAGUCAAGAAAAUGGACUAGAAUAAUUUAAUGGGCCUAAGGUAAGUCCCAUGUAAGGGGUUAGGCCCAAUUUGGAAAAUUGGGCCAUAGAUGGGCCAUAGUUGGGCCUUAAUGAUUGUAUAAUGUUGGGUCUUAGAAUAAGACCAUGUAUAGGCCUGGGCACAAUUUGGAAAAUUGGGCCAUAUGUUGGGCUUUGAUUCCUAGUUGGAUUUGGGCCAAUGGAUUGGGCCUUGGGCUUAAAUAAGCCAAGCCUGGGGUAAUGUAGCAAUUAUCCAAGUACGUAUUAUGGUUAUGAGUUGGGAUCCAAUUAUUAAUUGGGUGUUGUUUUGGCGUGUUGACAAUUCAGGAAUCUGUCAUCCAGUAGCUGGGGUUGAGUCUGCGAGACUUCAGCAGUGUGGGGUUGAGUCUAAGGGACUUCAGCAGUGCGAGGUGAGUUACCUUCCAGUAGUGGUGGGGCUACGGCCACAAUGCCGGCCCACCAGUAGGAGUUGUAUGUUAGAUGAUUGUCUUUGUGAUAUCAUCUAGGCUUGCUACUACCUGAUAUGUUAUAUGCUGGCAUGAUAUGUUGUAUGUGAUAGUAGUAGAGUUCGGUUGUUAGGACCGAAGGGUAGUUCAGGCACCCAAGAUAUGUCUGACAGUAUGUGAUGAUAUGUUUGUAUGUUGGCAUGAUAUGUUAUAUGUGAUAGUGGUAGUAGGAGGGGAAUAGUCCCCAAGUUCGGUUGCUAGGACCGCAGGAUAGUUCGGACACCCCAGAUAUGUCUGAUAGUAUGUUUAUGUUAUGAUAUAUGUGAUAGUAGCAGUAGGGGUGAAAUAGUCCCUGAGGGUUGAUUGUUAGGACCGACGCGUAGGUCAGCACCCUAGAAUGGCUUGACAUGGGUAGGUCAGCACCUUAGAAUGGCUUGACACGGGUAGGUCGGCACCCCAGAAUGGGCGCACCGGGUAGGUCGGCACCCCAGAAUGGCCGUACCGGGAGACGGACACCCCAGAAUUGUCCGACAGUAUGUAUGCUAUGUGAUUGUAUGGUAUGUGGUAUGAUGGGGGAACUCACUAAGCUUUGUGAUUACGGUUUUCAGUUUUGGUUUCAGGUACUUCGUUUUCAAAGGAAAGGAGCCGGCUCGAUCGCAGCGCAUCACACUAUGUUUCCGCACAUGAGAUCCUUGGGGAUUACGCUCUGAUAUGUUUUUAUGAUCCUAUGUUUUGGAUUACUGUCGCUUGGGUUUUAACAUGAGACUUUAUUAUGAAUGUUUUUAUACUGAUGGUUUUAUGUAAUAACAUAAAUAAAAAUGAAAUUUUUGCCUGUAUUUUUGGGAUGUUACAGGCCAUGUUUUUCAUUUUUAGGGUUUUGGUUUUAGGGGUUUUCGAAAAACCCUAGCCUCCAUAAACCCUAAUCGAAAUUAGGGUUAGGGUUUUAAAAAAUCCUAGCCACCUUCCUUAAAUUUCGAAAUUGCCUUAGGUUUUUAGGGUUUCUUGUUUGAAUAGUUGUUACAUAAUUGGAUUAAUUGGAUAAUUAUCCUAUACCCUAAAUUUUUGAAAUUGAGAGGGUUUAGGAUUAUGAUUAAAUUAAUUGUUUAUUUUACUUAGAUAAUCUUCCCAAUAUUUAAUAAAUUAAAAGUUAAUAGAUAAUUAUUAAAUCUAGUUUUUGGUUUAUUUUGAAUUUGAAAUUAAUAGUCUAAUUUUCGAAAAUUCAUUUAAACCUUAAAGUUUUAAAAAGUUUAAAACNNNNNNNNNAUAUAUAUAUAUAUAUAUAUAUAUUUAUAUAUAUUAUAAUUAAAAAUUAAAUAUUAUAUAUGUAUAAGAACUGGUCAGUAGAAUCGCUAGUAUGCCUCAUUCACGAAGCUAGUCUAUAAGGGGGUAUAACGAAACUUCCUAUAAAAUGGUAGUUGAAUGGGUGUCCACUCUCACCCACCGCUUCCUUGAUUAGUGGAGGGUCGUUAGCAGAACGGAUUUGAUAGGACAAGUUAAUCUCAUUAAAAGUAUAAUGUUAUUGGUUAAGUACUAGAACAUCAUUUUAUUACUUUAGGAAAAAUGUGAAUAGUAUGUUAACCCAAGAAAUCGCACUUGUAUAAGUCCUUAGUGGUGCGUGUGUGGUUAGCCGACACACUAAUUAGGACUAAUAAAGACUCGUAAUGGGUAUCUCAUGAUUAUCAUGGGGAGUCGGUUGUCAGUCAUGUGCAAAGAAUGCAACGCUACAUAGAGCGUUUGGUCAAGCUCAACGUACACUUUGAUGAGGAAUUGGCCAUUGACAUGGUCUUGAACUUAUUACUUGAUUGUUAUGGUUAGUUCAUCCUAACUUACCAUUUGAACAACAUCGAGCAAACAUUGGCCCAAUUACACAAUCUGUUGCAAACAGUUGAGGUAGGAAUGAAGGGUAAAAGUAUAGCCUCCACUCCUACUAGUUCUUGCAUCUUGGCUAUUGGACAGGGAAAGGGUAAAAAGAGGAACGGUCCUCCUAAGCAAAACUGGAAGGGCAAGGCCCAAGUUGGGUCAUUUAGCAGUGGCCUAAUGGCCAAGCCCAAUGUUGUCAUUCCCCAUGAUUCUGAUCCAAAGGAUGCCGAUUGCUUUUAUUGCAAUGACAAGGGGCACUAGAAAUGAAGGUGCCCGAAGUAUCUACAGGACAUUAAAGAUGGCAAGGUGAAGCCAUCUUUAGCAGGUAUUUACACUAUUUCUUUUAAUAACUCAUUAUCUUCUCGUUCUUAGGUCCUUGAUACCAGAUGUGGUUUUCACAUAUAUUCUAAUUUGCAUGGGAUAAAAGAAAGUGAGGAGGUGGAGCGAGGGAGGAUAAACUUGAUCAUGGGAAACAAAAAGUCCACACUAGUAACCAAGAUCGGAAUUCAUCAACUUUUGCUUAAUAAUGAUGUUAGAUUAGAUUUGUUGAAUUGUUGCUAUUCAUAUGAGAUGAAGAGAAACGUUAUUUCAUUUCAUGCAUUGUUAAAACACGGUUUUAAGUAUUCUUUUAACUAUUUGAAUGGUUUAAUUUUUGUUUAUAAGAAUGGCAUUUUUGUGUUUGAAGCUUUACCUUGUGAUAGUGUGUAUGAAACAGUGACUUGUGUUCAUAGCUUAGGUAAUAGUGUGUUUAAUAUUGACUUGUCUAAUAGUGUAGACAAGGCAUGCUUGUGGCGUUGCCGUCUUGGACACAUUAGCAAGAAACGCAUAGCACAACCCCAAAAGGAUGGAGUGUUGGAAUCAUUUGACCUAAAAUCAGAUGAUAUGUGUGAAUCUUGUCUUUUGGGAAAGAUGAAUAAAUCACCUUUCACGGGAUCUCGUGAAAGAUAUGAAGGUGUUGGAUUAGGUGUCUAAGCCCAUAACUAUAAUUGGUAUGUACUUAACCCGAGAGUAGCAUGGUCCAUUUGGGUUGCCUUCACUAGAGCAAUUUGAUAGGAUGGACUUUUGAGAAGAGAUUAUUUGUGAUUUAUUUAUAUAUUAUAAGUUCUAAUAUAUUAAUAUGAAAUUAUAUUAUUUAAUUAGUAUUGAUCAAGAAUGUAUUUGGAAUUAAUUUAGUGAUCAAAAGAGACUAAUUAAAUUUACGGGGACUGAUUAAGCAAAUCAAUGAUUAUUAUAGUGUGGGCCAAUGAUCCAUGGUUAUUUAGGAUGGGCUAAACCAAUAUGGAUAGUCCAUGGAGGUUUAACCCCUGGAGCCUACGUAAUAUUAAGGGUCAUGUGAAUUAGGGUUUGUAUGGAUGUAACCCUAGAUGUUACCACACUAUAAAAGGAACCUAUAGUCACCAAAAUGGGCUCUAUGCAUUCUAAGAAGAGUGAUAAAAGAUUUUGUGUGCUAAGUAGCCUCUCAUUCAAGUUCUCCUUUGUUCAUGGUGUUUGUGAACCAUUUGAGGCAUCACAUUUAAGGUGCUAAGUUCUUAAAAGCCAAAACUACAAGCUACAACAAAGAGGCAAUUCUAUAACUCACUUUUAUAUUGUUUAUGUCAAUUGUAUGGUAGUUGUAGGCUUAAUGCUUUGGAAACAAUAUUGCAUGUAUAAUUAGAGAAAACAUGGAUCCAAAGCAUUUAGGGUUGUAUGUGCACCAUACGAUGUUGUAGUAUACAAAACCCAACAGUGGUAUCAGAGCAUAUGAUUGUUUUCUGUUAUAUUUGAUGCAUGACUUAUUUUUUCCAAAGCUAAAAAACUGUUCUGACAGCACCUACUUGACGAGUACAUUCUUGGACUCAACGAGUAGGACAAAUUUUUCCUUGAACUCGAUGAGUCCAUAGUUGGGCUCGACGGGUUGGAUGACCAGACAACAUUUUUUCGGGAUUUUUGGACUGUUUUGGAUUAGGAUCAUUACCACAAAAUGUUUUAGUUCAUAAAAUUUGAUUUUGUUGGUAUGGUAAUGAUUAUACUCAUCUAAUCAAAAGAUAAUUUUCAAAAUUUCAAGAUUUGUAUUAGUUUAUUUAGUAGGAUAAUUUCUAGUAAAUUGUUGAUUUGAAUUGUCUUGACUUAUGAGUUUAACUAGAUCAAAGAUAAAUUAUAUGAUAAUUUCUAUUUGUUAAAAUAUUGAUCUAAAUAUUCUUUAAAGUCCUCAAUAACUUUUCCUCAAGUUAUGGAACAUGAAAAGUUUUUUCAUAAAAACCACAUUAAACUUAUAGGAAAUCAAAGGUUUUUCAAGAGUUACAAACUUGCCCUCAAGUUUUGGUAUUUGAUAAGUCUCAAAUUAAGAAACUCUUGUAAUUAAAAAGGUGUAACUCUUGGGUUAAAAAAUUUAAAAAAUUAAUUAAAUAGGUUUUGAUUUUGAAUUUUUUAUAUUUAGAACCUUGAAGUAAUUGAGUAGUUCAAAUUGCACCUUAUGGACUUUAUAAAAUUUGUAACAUCCCAAAAAUACAAGCCAAAAAUUUCGUUUUUAACUCAUUAAUAAAACCAUAAUUAUCUUUCAACAUAUAAAAAUCAUAAACGAUGUAUCUCAAGAAUAACAUAACAUCUGUCAAAUUUAUCAGAGUAUAAACAUCCCAGGCUGAACAAAUGGUGUGUGUACUGCAAACUUCCUGAGCUCCUCUUUUGAAAACUGAGUACCUGAAACUAAAACUGAAAACUGUAAGCACGAAGCUUAGGGAGUCUCUCCAAACUACCACAUACCAUACACAUAAUCACAUAACUUGGGCCUAGCCCACUGCAUCGGGCCCUGCCCGCCAUCGGACCGUAAACCGGUACACAUAUAAACAUAUCCACAAUGCAUAUAACAUAAACACAUAACAUAAAUAUAACUCUGGGACUACUCCCAACUGCAUCGGGACGAAUCCCGACAUCGGAUUACCCGACAUUGGACUCCUAUCCGGCAUCGGGCUCACCCCGGCAUCCGACCGCAUUGGGCAUCGGGCUCACCCCGACAUCGGGCUUACCCCGACAUCAGGCUUACCCCGACACAUACACAACACAUCAUAUAUAAAUAACAUAAUCACAUAAUCUUUAUCGGGCUUGCCCUAGCAUCGGACCAAAGCCCGGAACAUAUAACAUAUAAACUAGCAUACAUCGGGCUUGCCCCGAAACACAUAACACAUAGCAUAAUAACUAACAUACAUCGGGCUUGCCUGACAUCAGGCUUACCCCGGAACACAUAACACACAACAUGUAAAUUAACAUACAUUGGGCUUGCCUCGGCAUCAGACCGAAGUCUGGAACACAUAGCACAUAUCAUAUAACCUCAAUGAAUCACAAAGACAUCACACAUACUUAACUACUUCUCGGGACCGCCCCGACGUCGAACUGAAGUUCGGAAACAUAUAAACUGCAUCGGGCUUACCCCAACAUACUACAAUACUUAAACGGGUCGACAUUGUGGCCCUAGACCCGUUCCUACUGGAAGAGGACUCACUUCACACUGCUGAAGUCCCGCAGACCAAACCAUAGCUGCUGGAUGAGAGAUUCCCGGGUCUGUCAAUAUCAAAAUAACACCCAAUUAAUAAUUGGGUUCCAACUCAUAACCAUAAGUCCAUGCUUGGGGUAAAAGACUACUUUACCCCUAUCUUAUCUUGACUCAAGCCCAAAGCCCAAUCCAAAGGCCCAAAAGUCUAAUAAUGGACCAAGGCCCAACUAUGGCCCAUCAAUGGCCCAAUUUUCCCAAUUGGGCCCAAGUCUCUACAUGGUCUUGAUCAAAGGCCGAAUCAGUCAUUCUUGGUCCAACGCUUGAGAUUCUCAUAGUCCAACAUCUCAUAAUGAUCAAGGCCCAGACUAUGGCCCAUCUAUGGCCUAAUUUUCCAAAUUGGGCCCAAACUCCUUACGUUGGCCUUACGCUAAGGCCCAAACUCCUUAAAGUAUUCUAGUCCAUUUGCUUGCUUUUGGAUGGUCCAUUUUUAUCCCAAUCACCAAGGCCCAAUAGGAAGGCCCAACGCAAAGUCCAAGUGAAAUUAGGGUUUCACAUAAAAUGGCAAUUACGGGUAAGUAUUUCUCACUUAACCCAUUAAGGACUUAAUCCAUUAAGUCCUUUACUCUACUAGAUAAGCGAUAUGUGAUAAUUGGGCUUAAUACACAAUCCAAUACCAAUGGAUCAAAAGUGGGUCCAAAUAAGACCAAGGCCCAAAUACUCAUAAUUAGGGUUUUCCACCCAAACAUAGCCCAAUCGGCCCAAAACUAAUCUCUAAGCCCAUUAGGGUUCGCUAGUGGGGCACCACCCACUACCACCUCAGGUAGUGGUGGUCAAUGGCGGCACGCGGCGGCGGCCACCAGCUUACGGUGGUGGUUAUGGUUCUUUUCAUUACAUUUUCUACUAAUUACAAUUACAAGUUUUUAAUCCACAAAUAAACACACACAUACUAACUACUCUAACACACACACACACAACCACUCUAGUGGUGGCCGGCGGCGGUACAAGGCGGCAGCCACCAGCUCACGGUGGUGGUGGUGGCUUUUCACAUGAACUCCAGCUAGACAAAACACACACACACUUCAGAUUGCAUACAACACUCUAGCCACCCACCUGGUGGCUUAAGGGGACAACAACGAUGGUUUUUGGGAUGGCAGCCACCACCUCACGGUGGUGGUGGUGGUUUCUGUUAAUUCCUAGACAAGCAGCAACACACCCACGAGCAUACAACACUCGAGCCGAUAACACUUCAUUUUCAAUGGAACUACAGCAAUGUCAUCGGAUGGUGGUGGUGGCAGAUCGCAGUUGACGGCGGAACAGGAAGGAAGACGAAGAGGAUGGCAAUCCCAAGUCACGACGGCAGCAGCAACGGCAGACGGCGGGACGNNNNNNNNNNNNNNNNNNNNNNNNNNNNNNNNNNNNNNNNNNNNNNNNNNNNNNNNNNNNNNNNNNNNNNNNNNCGGUUGAGGGGCUUCUAUGGUGAUAGCGACGAUCGGAGGUGAAGGAGGAGGGUGGGGAAAUGGCGAUCGAUGCUUAGGGGGUUGGCGGUUGCAACACAUGCCUUAGGGUUAGGGUUUCACAAGCUAUAUACCCCGACCAAAUAAAAACUUUCCCAUAAUUACAGUUCUGGUCCCUCCCCAUGGGAUCUUUUCAAUUUAAACCCAAUAUUUAUCCUUUUGCACCUUAUUCCAUAAUUUUCUUUCAUCAUAAGUCCUAAUAAUUACCGAACAUAUCCCCGCUUCUAAAAUUCUUCUCAAAUCAACUCUGUAGUUUACUAAACAACCCUCCACUAUCAAAAUUCUUCACAAAUUAAUCCGGGAAUUAAAUUAAUUAAUUUAUUUAAAUAAACGAGGUGUUACAACUCUCCCCCACUUAAAUUAGAUUUUGUCCUCGAAAUCAUUCCUUACCAUUCCUUUCACUUCAAACCACUCUAGUAACAUGGUCACCAUCUUGGGCACACCCUAUCCUUUUUAGGGUAACCGUAACCAACCCUCGUAGGGUUCUAAAAUCCACAGAUAAAUGAAUUCCUCGCAACAAGAUCACAUUUACUCCGUCCGAAAUCUGCUGUCUCGAGAUGGUCUGAAUCCCUGACAGACCGCCCAUACCGAAACACUAUCUCCGAAACCAGUCCACUUGUCUCUUAGCUGCUUACUCAACUUUCGAUAACUCAAGGCUCCCACUAGAGAACAUACUCACAAAUCCUAAUUAUCCCUGAAGAUCACUUAUGCUUGGCUGAGGCUUAGAUAAUCCCGACAUGCUAUUACUGCUUGAGACACUGAGACGGUCUGAAACACCGAUCUGCAUGAAACACUGAACUGCCUGAAACAGUAUGUUGCUACAUGGCUGCUUUCCAAAAUAUAUCGAGACCUUCCUGGUCUCAAUUGAUUCGUCAGUCAUCUGAAAUACCGGGUUCCAGCUCGGUUGUGGAGCCAAAGGGCUCCCUACUUAGUCGCUUCACACAACUCCUGAACGAAAUCCUUCUCUGGAACCAACUGCUACUAGUUAUCUUGUCACUGUGUCCCUAGUGGCCUUCUGAUCUAACUGAUCGAUUCCAUACGUCGGAUCCUGACGUCACCAAACCCAAGGCUAAAAGUGAUUGCUACAUGAUCAUUGGUAGCCUUAUGCCAUGCAGGACCUUAAUCAAUUCACUGCUUCCUUGCUCUCUUAGCUGUAAUGGCGCUUCUAUAGUCUUAUCACUGGAUCAACCAGGGCUAAUUCGUAUGGUUAAUUUCGAAAUCCAAUCCGUGGAUUUCCGUAUCCUCACUACUACACCCGAACUGGUGGGUGCUACUAUUCUUUUCGCGUCCUAACAACGCAUUCACACUAUCUACCAACCUAUUGAAUGCUACGGCUACACCUGUAGACUUACAACACUCUACCACUAUAUGGCUGCUAGUGAAUGCUACGGCUACUCCCGUAGACUUAUAACACUCGAAUACUAUCUGGCUGCUAGUGAAUGCUACGGCUACACCCGCAGACUUACAACACUCUAACACUAUCUGGUUGCUAGUGAAUGCUACAGCUACACCCAUAAAAUUACAACACUCUCCAUAUUGGAUUGACACGCGCUUGACCCGCACUCAACUGAACUCAUGUCCUAACUGGAAUCCCCAACAUGGUUCCCUAAGGCUUGCUGGAAAACAUUACGGGAACGCAGUCUCCUUAUUAGCAAGUUUUUCCGAACUUCUAUCUCACACUAUCCUCAAACCAUACAGCCGCUUGGGCUGUCUUCCUUCCUGAGAAGGAUGUGAAACUCAUCCCAAUUUCAAAACUGCUCCUACUUCUGAAUCCUUGGAUGAUUCUCCCCCACUUUGAUUCAACUAAUGUCUUAGAGCACACAAUACUAGAAGGAUUCUCAAUCCUUCUUACCAUUCUAUGCCCAAUCUGCUGAAAACCACGCUUACGAUUGAUAGUGUUUCAAUACUAGCCAGUCCAAAAGAUCACACCACGUCCAAGAACCUGAAUAAAUUUCCGGUAAUAACCUGCUAGACCUAGGAAGCUUCGAAUCUCAAUUAGAGACCUCAAAAUCUCCCACUGCAUCACGACCUCUAUCUUUUCCGGAUCGACUAGAAUACCCUUCUGAUUGACAAGGUGCCCAAGAAAUUGCACCUCGCGCAACUAGAACUCACAUUUGAAGUACCUUGCAAAAAGUCUCUCCCUCCUCAAAGUCUCUAGCACCUCCCUCAGGUGUUUCUCGUGCUGCUCCCCAGUCUUGGAAUAAACCAAGAUGACGUUGUACUCUCCCAAUCUCGCGAUUUGGGAUAUGAUCUUUCACUAUCCGCUAAUAGUUCUCAGUAUGAAAUUGGCAUAUGACAUUUCUUGGAAGUAUAAUUCAAACACAAACAGAGGAUAAACCAGAGUCACACUUACUCAAACCCCUAGAAUGAAAGACUCUAUCGUGUAUUUUCCCGCAUGUGCUGUACUAAAUCUAACCCUGUUGGUCUCUCAAAAGCUGAUCCAAAAUUUAGGGUCUCCUCCCAAGACCCUUCAAUAUAAGCAACUGAUCUAGUCCUCUCUUACUGAUGUGCUCCAAGCCCAUAUCCCGUUCUCAAGCUCUAGAAGUCAUAUCAUUCAGGGUCUUGCACCCCGAGAUACUCACGAUCUCCUUGCUACCAUUCUACAAUACAUUCUGAUAACUUACCUUCUUUAUUUCCUCAUCUGCUACAUACUAUGGUACCAUAUAAGCUCUUUCCCGAGGCUUGGCAGUGAUCUCUGCCAUAGUCUCAGUCGUCUGGUGGAGAUCUAACAACUCCUGCACCAACUGUUGCGCCUCAAUCGCCUGGGCACACUCUGCCCAGAAUCUGGUCUGAAAGUCAUCCAAUGACAUAGCAUUAACUGCUUCAUCACUCCACUCACUACCAACCUUUUCCUAUCAAUAUCAUACUCUGUCCCUCAGGAGAUAGGAAGUAAGUUGGAUCUUGUCUCCUUUCGGAUAUUUGGGAUUUUGUAUCGACUCAACCGUAUUAGAACCUAACUGAGUUGUAGUCUAGUGCCAAGAGGAGGGAUAUCAAGUUGGAGACCAAGAGGAAGGAUGAGAGGGCGACGUUAGGGGCGGGAUUAUUCAGUGGCCAAGCGGUUCAAGAUUGCCGACUCGAGUCUAGGGUCAGUUUAUAGGAAGAUUUUUUUAGUGUGGCAAGUGCGAAAGGUUUCACAAUGGAAGGUGUCGAUCUUUUGUGUGUUGUAGUUUCCGCAAGGAAGGGCAUUUUGCUACGGAUUGCAUGCAGAGUAUGCGGGUUCAUCUCCAUUGCGGUCAGGAGGGCCACAUCAGAGCUUGUUGUCCCUUUCUCAUUUUCGGCGAGGUGCAAAACCCUACACCCCUAGCUUGAAAGUUACCCGACGGACAUCAUGGGACGGUUGGAGUUUUGGAGACUGAGGGUUGAGUUACUAGUUCUUCGAUUUAGUUGGUUAUAGCAGUGUUGCUAUCAUCUAUAUUUUCUGUUAGAGUUCUAGAAGUUCAGUUGUAAUCUUGAAUGAUCAGUGUAAUGGAAUUGUUUUAAUUAGUUCUGGUUUUAGUUUGAUCUCCUAUUUGCAAAUGGAUUGAUUAUUGUCCUUGAAUUUUUUUUUUCAUGUGUAUUGGAAUUCAUGAAUGUUUUUUGUAGGUUCAGAUUCUCUUGUGUAUCUGGUUGACAGGGAUGGGGAUCAAGUAGUAGAGUUCAAGUGCGUCUGGGACAUGAAGGAUUGUGAAGUUGUCAAAGUCCAUCAUAUUCCAAGUGAGGGAGAGUGGAGACCACAUAGAAGGAAGACCUUAAUUUAAUAAAUAUUUGAAUUAUUUGAUUUAAACCACCAUGUCCCCUGUGUUCGACACCCUUUCUUACCACAACUAUAUUACUUUGUGACUAGGUACACUGCCUAUUUGUGUUUAAGACUAGUUGAGAUUAGAUAUGACUACAUAAAUAAAAAAACAAGUGUAUAAAUAAACACAUCAAGUUUUUGGAGCCGUUGUCGAGGAACGGUUUGAAUUUUGUUCAGAUUUUUAUUUUUUGAUUAAAUUUUGUUUAUAUUUUUGUUGUUAUUUUUAUUUUUUUAGUUUCUAUUUAAAUGGAUACGAUUAAUGCUAUUCUUCAGCAUGAGUUGCAGGAACUUGAUGACCUAUUCGACCCAGAAAAAGAUUUGGAGGAGCUGGAGAGGUUGCUAGCUAAAGACUCAAACGAAGAACAAGAACAAGUUGAAAUGCAGGAACCAUUGGACCCCUAUUUUUCCGAUUUGUGUUUUGAAGCACGGGGUGACGAUUCCAACUUUGGAGAAAAUUCUGUUGUACAAUUCAUUUUUUAUUGGUGUCCAACCGGUUCCAACCCUUGUCAACAUUCUUGGAUUUUAUAGAUUCAAGCUCGACCGACCGAUUUUCGAAAUAAAAAGUCAAAUCUUACAAAUCAGUCCAAAAAGAAUAUUAAAUGUGACGAAUGGAUUUGUCAAUGAGUAGAUUAAUAGUUUAUUAAGUUGGGAGUCCAGCUCAAGUCUUGCACAAAAAGAAGCACUUAUCGGGAGGCAAUCCAACUUUUAAAUUAGUUUGCAUUUUCUUUUCUUUUCUUUUUUCUUUUUUCUAUAUUUUUAAUUUUUAAUUUUUAGUUUUAUUUUGAACAAAACUGCUUUUGAUGAUUCUUAUUUUUGUUGCAAGAGAAUUUUUAGCUAAGAAAUUGUUAAUGGAAAAAAACGUGUGGGGUGGAGUAUUACGAGAAGAAGGCAUGAAGCAUGACACACAAAUAAGAGUGGGGUAUACAUCCGACAUGGAGAAAACCAAGGUAUUGAGCUUUCAAUGCUACAUAUGGGAAGAAACUGAUAUGAGAGACUGGUCGAGAAAUUAGCUACUUCCAGAUUAGUCGAUUCAUUCAAUGAUGAAGAAUUAAGAGUUUUCACGAAGACGGGACACGGGCCUAGCUACCUCGAGAGGCGAAUUUUUAUUACAUCGCGACUACUUUCCUGACAUUUGAAGACCGCGACGUGCCAACGCCUCGAAAACCUAAGGGUUCCUCCGCACAAUUCGCAAUACGCGUUGUAACAAUGAUUUUCUCACAAGUUUUACUUUUUACAAAGACAACACCGUGGCCAACAACUUGCCAAGAUGUGGAAACGCCCCAGUCAAAUUUUUGAGCUAUGAAGAUUAGUUGUCCGCCUACCUUUAUGCCAAGAGUCCACCAAUUUCAUCAAGAAUGUUCAGUUCCAAGAGUGUUCCAGCAGACAAAUUCAAGCUAGUAUCAAUAAGCAACCCACAACAUUCAUCUGAUCUCGCGACUACAUAACCAAAGAGAGUUUGUUCCUUAUCUCCCUCUUUCAUUUUAUAUCUUUUAAUUGUUUUUAUACAAUGAGGGCAUUGUAUAAUUUAAGUGUGGGGUAGGGGAUCAAAUAAAAGGAAAAGAGCAUGCUAGAAAAAAUAUAUAUGCUAGAUUUUUUUAACAAAAUGAAAAUAUACAUAGACUUGAAAAAAUGGUUUAAAAUAGGAAAAUCAAGAAAAAUUUUAAAUUGUGCUUUUGUUAGAACUAAGUUUGCUAGUAUCGUGUGGGAUAAUUUGAUGCAAAUUUAAAGGUUUAGUUAAGCUAAUAGUUAUAGUAUAUUUGUGGCUUCCUAGUUCUAGUGAAAUCAUGAGUUAAAAACACGAACUUGUGUAGUUUGAGGGACAUAAUAUGUUUUGCAUCAUGUACUUGAAAUGUAUCCACUAAAAUUAUGUAGCCAUUGCACUUUAGACUAAUACCUUUAACCAAUAAGGGUUGAGGUUUAGGUCCCUUGCUUAAGCAUAUGUUUUUCUUUUAGGUUUUAUUUUGAGAGAAUAAAAGUGAGAUAUGAAGAAAAUGAAUAAUGUUGUGAUAAAAAAAAGAAAAAAGAAGUUGUCAAAAGUUGUUGAAUAAAUACAAGUUUGCAAAGUAUAAAGAUCUUGAAGAAGUGAAGAAUAAGGAAAAUUGGAAGGGAUUAUUUGAUUUGUAAUUUUCUUUCUAGAUUAUUUUGUCAUAUGUAUGCUUGGGAACUUAACAAAAAUUACAUUGAGGUUAAGAAAGUUUUAUGAGGAUGUAUUUGAAGGGAUGCAUAAAUGAAUGUUGUUCAAAAUAAGUAGGGAAUGUUUAUGAGGAUUGUGAGUACGUAGGACACGGGAAGUAAUUAGGGUCUAGACAAAAAUAUAUGCAUUGAGGAGAGACAUAAUUUGUGAAUUCAAAUUGGUCUAUUCUAUGUGAUGUUGGUUGGAAAAGUUUUGAUAUAGCAUAAUAACAUUCUAGUUUGCUUGAGGACAAGCAAAAUGUUAUAUUUUUAGAUAUAUGAUACUUAAAGAUAAGUGUGAGGUAUUUUAAAAUGUUCAAUUACAAUUAAAAUGAGAGAUGGGAUGCAAAAAGAGGAGAACGGAGCUGAAAAAGACACAAAAAGGAUGUUGUUGGCAGGACCCCGCAUCAGUGUUUUGACCAUAUAUCAUGACUCGUAACUUCGAUUAAAGUGAUUCAAAAUGAUUUAAAAACUAGACAAAAUUUCGGACGACUUUCAUGUUUGAGAAAAAAUGUGAAAUCCAAACACAACGACAUCGUGAUGACCACCACGACAUGGUAAAUGGAAAUUUUGCGAUCGUUGAGCUGACUUGGAGAAUACAGUAUAUCCAUGAAGACCACAACGUUGUUCCUCUUAACCACAUCAUGGUGGCCAGAAUUUGGCAAGUAUAUAUAUAUUCCAGACAUUAGGCCGUUUCCAGAAGGUGGAGGCCUAAGGGUUGCGAUUAUUCACGAGGAAAAGCCCUCUAGAGGUCGAUUUUGAAGCUAGAGAUUCAAUUGGAGCCAGGAUUUGGAGAUUCAAGUGCUAUUGUAUCGAGAUUUCACUUCAAGUUUUCUUGAUGAUCGUGUCUUUGCAUUAUUUUGGUGAUUUUUUUCUACUUUAGUUUACUGAAUAUGGUGUAAAAACCUUUACUUUCACUAGAUAUUGAUGAACCAUUGUUGAUAUGCUAUGAUUUCGUUAGUAGGAUUAACUCAUUUUGGUUUUUACUUGUGUUCAAUUGAUUGCUUUACCUUUCAUAUUAAUGUUAUGAUUUUUAUUGUUUAUUGCUGAGUAUUAUUAGGAUUAGAUGAUCAUUCUAUCUUGAUGUACUUAAUCAUAUGAAUCUAUGAUCAUUAGGUUUGUAUGACUAUGACUUUGAUCAUAAGCCUAAGGUUAAAUAAUAUUAAUCGGUGGCUUUGAUUGCGUUAUAGAGCAUUAGAUAUUCAUGAUACGCUUAGAUUGAUUGUCAUGAUCAUUAAAAGAUAUUACUAGAUCAUAUCGUUCAUAGUUCGAAUACAUUUAAUUAAUUAUGUGGUCACUAAUUGCAUGAUCAUUGUAUUAGUUGUUCAUUAAUUAUUAGUACUAAGAAAUCCAAUCAAGAUAACUAGUCAUAUUACAAUUCGGUAAUCAAUUCAUUAAUCCAUAUUACCUCUAAUAAAUCAAACAUAAAAACUUUGGGGGAUUCGUAUUCUAGUGGAAGUACUUCUUAUCUACUGUUUCCAUUUAGUUCUUUAAUUUCGUUGAUUAAUUAAUUGUUAAAAUAAGUUUAAUUUAGUUUACACAAAAAACCACCAUUUAAUUUACUAUUAUUAAGUUAAUAAAUAUUUGAAUUAUUUGAUCUAAACCAUCAUGUUCCUUGUGUUCGACACCUCUUCUUAACACAACUAUAUUACUUCACGACUAGGUACGCUGCCUAUUUGUGUUUAAGACUAGUGGAGAUUAGAUAUGACUUUAAAAUAAAAAAACGAGUGUAUUAAUAAACACAUUAGAAAUCACUAAGCUUUGUGCUUACACAGUUGAUUAUGUUUUUUUUUAGGUUUAAUCGGUUAUUGUGGGAAGGUGAAGGCGUGAUUGUACAUACUCAUAAAAAACAUUGAGGAUUCCGCAUUUAUUAUAAUACUGUGAUUUUUCAACAAAUGUAAUUUUGAACAAACGGUUUUAUUAACAUGGAUUUUAUAAUUAUGAUGUUUUAUCUUAAGUAGAAAAAAAAUUUGGUUGUGGAAAUGAGACGUUACAGUAAACACAAAAAAAUUAUUUAGGUAGACAGUGAAUCAACCAUACAAAAUCAUGUGACACUCGAUAUGACAUUAUUCUCACAUUGACAUGUCAGUUAACCACACAUGUUCCAUCAACAAAAUAAUCUCACAAGUGACAAAUCAUAUUAACUUAUAUAUUUGCAAUGACGUACCGGUUAACCACACACACUCUAUCAUCAAAAUAUAAAAAAUAUGUGCGUUGUCAUUGGGAACACAUGACUCACGCUUUGAUAUAUAAGACUUGAAUUUUGUUUUAAUAGUUGGUUAAUAUUUUUAAUCUUGAAACAGAAUCAGACCGAACCCUUUCGAUAACUUCAGUCUCAAAAUACAAAAAGGCGGUGAGGGUUUUAAUUGCAAAGCAUUUUAAAAACGACCUCAUUAGGAAUCAUAGAUACCUCCUUAAACCUUUCUUAGAGUAUUAGAAUGCGUGUGCAUUCUCUUGAUUCAAUGAUAGUGUUUUUAUUAAACAUGUGAAGACACAUGUUAUAUUAUUAUAUAUAUAUAUAUAUAUAUAUUAAUUAAUUAUAACAUAUAUUACAUUUAAACCUUUUAAAUUUAUAUUCUUUUCUUUUUAAUUUAAUUCUCUUAUUAAAUUAAGUUCAAGUAUAUUCAAAUUUUAAUUCAAGUUUAAAUAACAUUCAAAUUUUAAACAAUUAAAUAUUCAGAUUUGAAUUCUUAUUAAAUAAUAUCUCAAAUUAAUCAAAAUUUUGAAUAUUCAGAUUUAAGCAACUAAAAUAAUAUUUUAAACAAAGGGCUUAUUCCCAGAUUUUCGAAAUUUGAUCAAAAUCCCAAAUCUGAAAAUCGGCUCAGCAAGUNNNNNNNNNNNNNNNNNNNNNNNNNNNNNNNNUCAUUUGCGACUAGCAUAUUUUUUUUCUAAUUUUUACAAUUUUUUUGCAGUUAAGUAAAACCUAUUAGGCUCUCAUACCAUUGUUAUGUUUUAUUAGCAUCAAUACAUUAUCUUAAGACAGCGGAACCAAUCAAAAGAUAUACCUAAAUAUACAUGCACAAUAGAUCUAGGUUUUACUAGUUAUAGCAACGAACUUUAAAAUUCAACUAGAAAGAAACAUAUUAACAUCUUGAUUGCUCGAUUGGUAUCUCAUACGUGUCAGUGCAUGCAAUGGAUGAAGGAUCCAAAGUAGAACCUCUCUAAUGUAGUCAGACUCACAAACACCAAAAGAAAAAUGAAUAAACCAUAGUCACAUAAUUCGUGGUACGCUUUGGUAUGGGUACGGGUACGUGGUAUGCAAUUCGCUAGGUCCUUGAAAUUCGGUACGAGGGGGGUAGGCUCAUUUCGGUAUGCUCCGGGACGCUCUGGUACGAUGUACCAAAUAUUGUAGUACCAUGUACCAAAUUCAAAACUUAUUAGAUGAACUUAAAACUUGCAGUCAAACUAACAUAAAAAAUUCAAAAUAAAUUACAUCAAAUCCGACAAACAUCAAAAGUCAAAAUAGAAAACAUAAACUUAAAACUUAAAACUCAAACAUGUAACUUAAUCCACUAUUCCAGACCAUAAGUAGACCACCAUUCAAUUGCUUACAUAGUAGACGCAUUCAUUUGAGCUACCGGUAGAGAAUAAAGACUCUUCUUCAUGUUAAAUGUGGCAAACUGUUCUAGCAACAAUCGUUCUUCGUCUCUAUUUUCAGAAACGUGAUUAAAUGCUUCCAUUACACCUUGUAUAACUUCUUUAUCAAGGUUUUGCGCUUUUCUACGAGUUCCACCCGAUGCUAAUGUUUCAAGAUAGCGGCUAUCGUAAAACCGUGGAGUUAAAGAAAAUCCUAAACAGUGUAACGGGAUGCUCAUUUUCUCCCACCUGUUCAAUACAAUUUGUUGUACUUGAGGGAAAUAUGAUGCAUACAUAUUUUCCUUCAUCAAAUCUUGUAUUUCCCCCAACAUAUUAUCCAUAUUUUCAUAAAUUUCGCCCAUUUUCAGGCCUUCACCAUCGCAAAAUUUGAUCAAACGUUAAAUUGGCUUCGUGAUGCGUAAAAUAUUUUCAACUUUGACCCAAAAGUCAUCAUCUAUUAUAUGAUUAACAACAAGAUGUCCAAUUGUUCUAGUGUGUUCAUCGCCAUGUUUCACCCAAUCUCUCCAUGAAUUACAAGCAAUUGUUGUAGAUAGUGUCUCUCUACAACUGAAUAACCUCUUCAACAAAACAUAAUGAGAAACAAAUCAGGUUUUUGCAACCCUUAAAAGCUCCAACUUUGAAGUCUCCCUAAAAAUGGACAAAGCUUGUACAAGAUUAAGAAAAUAUUUGAUAAUCGUUUUCCCCUUUUUAUACGUGUCCUGUAACCAAAUAAACUCGCUUGCAAAAUCUUUAAAAAUAAGGUUUAAGGUAUGAAUACAACAUGGCGACCAAAAAAUAUGCUUGUACAUCUUUUCCACUUCCUUUCCAGCAACUUUAUAAUUGGCAGCAUUGUCUGUCACAACACUAAGAACAUUACUUGGGCCAACAGAAUCAAUCGCUUGGCUUAGAAAAUGAGCAAUUGCUUUACCUGUUUUCUAUACUCCAGAGAAGUCACAGUGGAAUACAUAAACAUAGAACCACGACUGUUUACAGCAAGAACAUUGAGCAAUGGCUUAUGUUUUAUGUUUGACCACUCAUGAGAUACAAUAGAAAUAGCGUGUGAAUACCAUGUUUCUUUAAAGAGUAUCAAGUAUUUCUCAACAUCUCUAACAUAAUCGUCUAGUAAAACAGUUCUUGCUUUCUCACUUGAUGGCGCUUUAUAACCUUCGGGUGCCUUUCUUAACACGUUUACCAUGUCACGGAAUUGAGGAUUCCGCAAAACAUUAAAUGAAAUCCCAUUAGCAUAUAAGGCCCUCACAAUUUUCAAAUCAACUGCACUUCUCUCCAUUAUUGCAAAAUAUUGCUCUAUUGGUUUUUUAGAGCUCAAACUUGGUUUUUUUUUUUGUUAAAACAUAACUUCUUAGGGAUUUAGAGACUCCAAAUUUUUCAGCCUCUUUCACUUUCUUUUGCAACCUUUCAUAAGUUUCUCAGUCUUUUAGUACAACGGGACACAUCUUAAUUUCAGCUUUUUCCGAGUUGAGCACCAAAAAAAUGAGUAUAAAUACGGGUAUAAGAACUAGUGAAUGUUCCAUGACAAUGUUUACAAACCCAUUUUUUAGAACCACUAGGAUUUUUACUACUACCAGCACUAAUAAAAGUAACUUCAUCAUAUAAAGGCUUAGCAUCUACACUUUGUGUUUUUGGCUAUGUACCUUGACUCCCAUAACUUGUCUGAACUUCUGAUUCUAAUUGUGGUUAAUUAUCGUUGUCUAAUUCAUUGCCAAGAUCAACAUAUUGAUCUUCUUCCUCGUGGUAUUAUUGUGAUUGGGAUUAUUGUCCUCCAUCAUCUUCCUAACAGGUAUUAAUACCUCUUUUCUUUCCAAAAACCAUGAUACUUUAAGUUCUAACUGUAAUCGUUACUGGGUUUCGGAUUCAAGAACAAAACCAAACUAUCAAAUUUGAAAUUUGAUGUUCUGGAUUACAAUUGAAUGAAAAAUACGAUGGAAUGGAAGCCUAAUAUAGGCCUAAUUACAGAAUAUGGAAUCAAUUUUGAAAAGUCGCUCAUGAAUUGUUCGGUUACAGAAAAACACAGUCGACACGAUCAACUCUUCAAAUUCCAACCUGUGUUUCAAAUUGAUUGCAGACGUGUUUUGGAAUCAGGCGGUUCGUGAUUGCUACAGCAUCUGGUACGUUCGAAUUGAAUAUUUGGAACAUCAAUUCAAGUUCAUGAAUCGCGACCCAGAGCGUACCUGGUACACGUUCGUAUCGAGUUUUGGUACGAGCGAUUUGGAUCGCAGAUCGCGCCUACCCCAACGAUUUCUGUGACUAUAGAAUAAACCCUAUGCAAGGGUUUAAUCGAAAAUCCCUAACCCUAGGAGAAAGGUUGGAAAUUUCAUAUAUGGAGAGUGACAAAGAUAGAGGUGGGACGAUUUUAAGAGAGAAAUCAAUCACUCUAAGGUUUACCCCUAAUACUCUAUUUAUAGAUGCAUAUACAAUCCUAAAAUGAUUUAAACUCUUAAGGUUAAUCUUUAUCUAAUUCAAACCUUCCUUAUCCCGCCUUAUCCCUAUCAGAGAGCUAGCCAAAACUAUCAACCUCUAUGCUAUGCUCUGAGAGCUUCUACAAUAUUCAAAUUAAUCUCUAAGAAUUAAUUAAUAUUCACAUUCUUUAAUUAAUUAAAAUAGUUUAACUAAUUCCAAAAUAAUUUCAAAUUAAUUUAUUAUUUCCUAAAUAAAUUAAUAACUUAGUUUUCUCUAUUUGCUUAUUGUUAUUUGGAUCAUGAGUCAAUCCAAAAUAAUCAUAUUCUUAUUAGAAAUAUUAUUAAAAUAGUUAAUAACCUUGAACACUAUCUCCACCAUUUCUUUAACUUGAGUUUGGAUUAUAAUAAAAAAAAAUCUUUCUAAUUUCAAGUUACUAAGAAAAUAUGAUGUAUUUUAUAUAAAAAAAAUUAGGAUGUUACCGUCUUGAGCCCAUUAAACCAGUCGAUAAAGUUUAGGUCAACGAAUAUUAUAAAUGAAUCUCUUAAUACCAAUUGUAACUCUAAGACAGGAACAUGACAUUGUAAAUGCACUAAAUACAUAAAAAUCGUAUAGCACUAAAUAUCAAACAAAAGAACUCUUUAGUUUUGCAUGUAGAUGUAGCUUGAUUACUCUAAUCAAAUGAACUAUGUUAAAUCCUUGUGUUCUUCGNGAGGAUGUAGCUUAAUUACUCUAAUCAUGUCAACCAGGUUAAAUCCUUGUGCUGUUUGUUAUUCUUCAACGUCUUUAUCAUUGUUCUUGUGUUUGUCGAAGUACUUAAUUACCUAACAGGAUGAUGACAAAAAUGGAGCAAUUCAGUAUCACAUCAAAUACAACGAAUUGUGAUAGGAGUCAGGAGAGAUCAAUUCCCAAAGGAGAAAUGAACACCGAGCAGGUUACACAGAAGUGACUCCCUAUCCCUACACAGAACAUGCAAUGUCCUUGAAUUUAUACUAAAUUUAACCAACAGAAAUAUAUCGCAAAAAAAUUCUAUAUUAAAAUGUACCUGUUAGUUUGUUAGUCGCAUUUUAUAGCUGCAUAUAGGUAACGAACAAAGAGCAACGAGGCAUUGAAACCCACACUUCCAAGUAUCAAAAAUAUGCCGAAACAGACACAAGCCAUAUAGCCGAAGAAAAAGGAGGUUUGCAUGAAACCAUUCAUGUCUGAUCUCUCAAAAUAAUAAUAGAUGCAAUAAACAUAUAUAUACAAUCCAGUAGAGCCUCCACACAGAAAUGAC